rnacentral:rRNA from 1 species
AUACAAUAGUGGCGCACGGGUGCGUAACACGUAUGCAACCUACCUUAUACUGGGGGAUAGCCUUUGGAAACGGAGAUUAAUACCCCAUAGCACAUUUAGAUGGCAUCAUUUGAAUGUUAAAGAUUUAUCGGUAUAAGCUGGGCAUGCGUCCAAUUAGUUAGUUGGUGAGGUAAUGGCUCACCAAGACUUUGAUUGGUAGGGGAACUGAGAGGUUAAUCCCCCACACUGGCACUGAGAUACGGGCCAGACUCCUACGGGAGGCAGCAGUAGGGAAUAUUGGGCAAUGGAGGCAACUCUGACCCAGCCAUGCCGCGUGCAGGAAGAAGGCGUUAUGCGUUGUAAACUGCUUUUAUAUAGGAAGAAAUAGUCCUUGCGAGGAAAGUUGACGGUACUAUAUGAAUAAGCACCGGCUAACUCCGUGCCAGCAGCCGCGGUAAUACGGAGGGUGCAAGCGUUGUCCGGAUUUAUUGGGUUUAAAGGGUGCGUAGGCGGUUUAUUAAGUCAGUGGUGAAAGACGGUCGCUCAACGAUUGCAGUGCCAUUGAUACUGGUAGACUUGAGUGGGAUUGAGGUAGCUGGAAUGGAUAGUGUAG